rnacentral:rRNA from 1 species
ACGUAGGGGGCAAGCGUUAUCCGGAUUUACUGGGUGUAAAGGGAGCGUAGGCGGCUUGGUAAGUCAGAAGUGAAAGCCCAGGGCUUAACCCUGGGACUGCUUUUGAAACUGCCAGGCUUGAUUGCCGGAGAGGUAAGUGGAAUUCCUAGUGUAGCGGUGAAAUGCGUAGAUAUUAGGAGGAACACCAGUGGCGAAGGCGGCUUACUGGACGGUAAAUGACGCUGAGGCUCGAAAGCGUGGGGAGCAAACAG